rnacentral:rRNA from 1 species
UGCUUUAUGAAUUAUAAUAUAAAGUAAUCUCCUGCCCAGUGAUUAUUCAACGGCCGCGGUAUCCUAACCGUGCAAAGGUAGCAUAAUAAUUUGUCUAUUAAUUGUAGGCUAGAAUGAACGGGGUAACGAAAUAAGAUCUAUCUCUUAUAGACAAAUAAAAACUAAUAUUUAAGUGAAGAAGCUUAAAUACAAUUAAAGGACAAGAAGACCCUAUAGAGCUUUAAUUUUAAAAAUUAAUAAUUUUAUACAUUUAGGUUGGGGCAACCAAGGAUAAAUCAUCCUUACAAUACUAGACUAUCAUGUCAUCAAAUGACCCUAUUAUAGAUCAUAGAACUAAGCUACCUUAGGGAUAACAGGCUAAUCCUAUUACAGAGUUCUUAUCAACAAUAGGGAUUGGCACCUCGAUGUUGGCUUAGAAUAUCUUUAUGAUGCAGUAGUCAUAAAAAGAAAGUUUGUUCAACUUAUAAUAUUCU